UAAGAACAAAGUGUUUUACGUUUCAAGCAAAAGCUUUGUGAAAUAUUGAGAGAGAUGAAGAAUGUUUUUGUGUAUGCUUGCUUUCUCUAACCUCUCAAAGUUGAUGUUUCAGUAAAAUCUUGUGAUGUUGUACUUGUUUCUCUCAAUGUUGAUUUGCAGUCCUUUAUAUAGAAGAGAAGGAUCCGUUGAAAAAUCAUAGCAGAUAAUAACUCUUGAAUAA
rnacentral:lncRNA from 1 species